GUCUAACUUUACAGGCGCCAACUUUCAAGCUGUAGCCCACUGGUCUCGGUUUUGCAAAAACAUAUCGUGCUACUUCUGGCAAACAGAGAUGUCUGAAGUUAAUAUACCUCUGGAUCUCAGCGCUGCAGAAAUUUUGGAACGUAAACAGCUGCAGCAGGAACUUCUGGCGUUGCGAAGAAUACGGUCAUCCCUGCAUACCGUCGAACGUAUGGUGGGGUGUUUCAGCCAGAAUGUUCAACUGGCAAUUAAGAAUGGCGAUGCGCUAGCAGACCUUAACCAAGGAUGGAAUGUUUUCUUCACUGGGAAAAAAUGAACAGUAAAUCCAGUACCAUAAGAUCUCAUCCCAUACACAGUAUUUCAAGGAACAAAGAAUGCAGUAAAUCUUCUUACAAGUGUAUUUAUAUGAAACAUGAAUAUGUGCAUUUCAUUAUGUUUUCUGUCUCUAAAGAAAUCCACAUUUCUGUAUAUAUUUCUAAAGUUAAUUCAAUGAAGAAAUGUUAAAAUAUGAAGAAACAAAUAUUAAGUACAAUGUCAGCUACAUUAAUGAUUAAAAAUGUUGUUGGAACUUCCCCUCUUACCCACAGCAAAGCCUUACAAUCUGCAGGUUCAUAAUUUUGUUACAACAUGUAAGAAUAUCCCCAAUGCAAGCGUUUCACAAGGACCAGCAUCUGGUGAUGUCUAUGGGUCACAGACUUCAGUCAGUCAUGGAAUACAAAGGAUUUGCAACCAAAUAUUAAAUAUUAUGACUUUCAGAUAAUGUUCAGUUGUCCAAUUACUCAAAUCCAAUGUGCUCAUUGUUGCAACCACUGCUGUGAAUUGGGAAAAGUUCAGAUUAGCAUAUGCUGUUCUCCAAAGUGAUAUCAGCUGCAGCUUCUUAUAACCCAGGCUCACACAGACAUGAAUCAGAGGAAGACACAUGCUGUGCGGCUGAACAGGUGGAAUUGUGGGCAUCUGAUCAACCAGCAAGGGUCACUGGACAAAAACCCUCCCUUCCCUGGUUCAUGCAAGAGCCAGUUGCGCACUACCUUGCCUGGCUACAGCUGAAGUCGUCACUGGCAUGGUCUGGAUGCUAUGCCAGCCUGUGGGCCCCACCCGUGUACUAGA